rnacentral:rRNA from 1 species
AACGAACGCUGGCGGCAGGCCUAACACAUGCAAGUCGAACGAAGUCUUCGGACUUAGUGGCGCACGGGUGAGUAACACGUGGGAAUAUACCUUACGCUGGGGGAUAACAUCGGGAAACUGAUGCUAAUACCGCAUACGCCCUUCGGGGGAAAGAUUUAUCGGCGAAAGAUUAGCCCGCGUCCGAUUAGCUAGUUGGUGAGGUAAUGGCUCACCAAGGCUCCGAUCGGUAGCUGGCCUGAGAGGAUGACCAGCCACACUGGGACUGAGACACGGCCCAGACUCCUACGGGAGGCAGCAGUGGGGAAUAUUGGACAAUGGGCGCAAGCCUGAUCCAGCCAUGCCGCGUGAGUGAUGAAGGCCUUAGGGUUGUAAAGCUCUUUCACCCACGACGAUGAUGACGGUAGUGGGAGAAGAAGCCCCGGCUAACUUCGUG